AUUUCUGCACAUACGUCUCUUCAAAUACUGCUCUUGUAAACUGUUGAUAUAUUCUUGUAGCAGAGUUUAGCUACUAUGCUAUCGAUAACGCUAAAUACUUUGUGUUACCAAGUUUUUCACACCCUAUUGACCAUUUUCAUUCGUUAGAUCAUACUAUUCAAUCAACCACUCACUCAAUCCUAGAGAAUCACUAUCAUCCUAAUCGCAUAUCUCUUUAUCCAAGAGCCGAAAAUUUAAUAGCAGCAGUGACUUGAUGCUAUUUAUUGUAUUCUAACCUAGUUUCUUGUAAAGUACAUAAGGUCUCGCAGAUUGCUAUUUUUAUGGGCUCUUCAUGUAUCAAAAUAUCUGAUGUGAAACCUUAUAUAUACGUAUAUACAUAUAUAUACAUAUAUAUAGAAUUGAGCUCCUAUGCUUUUAAAAGUACCAAGUUAUUGGUGCUUUUAGAUUUUUAGCCAUUGGAUUAAGAAAUAUGCGGUUAGGAUGAUGUGGGCCCCUUAGGGUUUAGUGGGUGGUUGGUUGAAUAGUAUAAUAUAAUGGUUGAAAAUAAUCUGAGGAGUAGAUCUAACGGUAAAAAACUUACAAGUACCAAGUGCUUGGUGCUUUUACAAGCACCAUAGCUGGACUCCAUAUAUAUAUAUAUAUAUAUAUAUAUAUAUAUAUAUAUAUAUAAAGUCCGGCUAUUAUACUUUUAUGAGUACGAUCGCCUUCGUACUCAUAAGUCGUUUUCGAUGAUAGAGCUUCCGAAUCGACGAUCCAUACCGUUAAACAUUUUCUAGAGCAUUUAAAACUUCUAAAAAUCAAAUUUCAUAAUUUUUCGACGUCAUUUACCUUACGAUCAAAAGCUCACAAAAUUGACAAUUUUUAACGGUCAGUAUGGAAUGCUUGCUAAUUUAACGAUACAAAAGAAUCCGAAUAGGUUAAAUUUUUGAUAGAAAAUUCUAUUCACUACCUAAAUAAAGAUCAAUAACUCUGAUCUUAAAUUGAAGAAUCCGAUCAUCCAAUUUUAAGGCAUCGUUCGAUUUUGACCGUUUAUUUUAUGCCCGCUUGAUGGACUUUAUUAUGAUUUCAAAAAAUUACGAAACACUUGUCCUGAGUCUAAUGACUUUUUGUCGAAAAGCCUGCGCGGCGCUCGUCUGUCACCUGCACAAACGAGCAAGCCAAACCGUCCCGAGGCACAGCUUCGCAAAUUGGCAACAACCGAGAAUUGAGAACAAGCACGUAAAGGAAUUCUGCAAAUUGGCACAAACAACGAGUAUUUUAUUGAUAACGAAAAGUUGGACUACAAGCGAAAGGCACACGACUCGACUUGGUCGGGCAUGGCCGGUGAGGGCAAAAUGAUCACCAAGACACUACGCAUUUAGCGAAGUGGGCUCACUUAAUACGUCUCACCCAACCUUCCCGUGAUCCGGACCUGCCAG
rnacentral:lncRNA from 1 species